rnacentral:rRNA from 1 species
CAGCAGCCGCGGUAAUACAGAGGGUGCGAGCGUUAAUCGGAUUUACUGGGCGUAAAGCGUGCGUAGGCGGCUUCUUAAGUCGGAUGUGAAAUCCCUGAGCUUAACUUAGGAAUUGCAUUCGAUACUGGGAAGCUAGAGUAUGUGAGAGGAUGGUAGAAUUCCAGGUGUAGCGGUGAAAUGCGUAGAGAUCUGGAGGAAUACCGAUGGCGAAGGCAGCCAUCUGGCCUAAUACUGACGCUGAGGUACGAAAGCAUGGGGAGCAAACAGGAUUAGAUACCCCCGUAGUCCCUGUCUCUUAUAC